rnacentral:rRNA from 1 species
GAUGAACGCUGACAGAAUGCUUAACACAUGCAAGUCUUUGGCGAAGCUGUGCUUGCACAGCCUAGCCAAGGCGGACGGGUGAGUAACGCGUAAGGAACUUGCCCUGCAGUCAGGGAUAACAGACGGAAACGACUGAUAAGACCUGGUAAAGUCAGGCGGACUCAUGUCCAGCCUGAUGAAAAGAGAUGCUGCAGGAGAGCCUUGCGUCCUAUUAGCUUGUUGGUGGGGUAACGGCCCACCAAGGCGAUGAUAGGUAGCCGGCCUGAGAGGGUGGACGGCCACAAGGGGACUGAGAUACGGCCCUUACUCCUACGGGAGGCAGCAGUGGGGAAUAUUGGACAAUGGGGGCAACCCUGAUCCAGCAAUUCUGUGUGCACGAUGAAGGUUUUCGGAUUGUAAAGUGCUUUCAGCAGGGAAGAAAAAAAUGACGGUACCUGCAGAAGAAGCGACGGCUAAAUACGUGCCAGCAGCCGCGGUAAUACGUAUGUCGCAAGCGUUAUCCGGAAUUAUUGGGCAUAAAGAGCAUCUAGGCGGCCAGAUAAGUCUGGGGUGAAAACUUGCGGCUCAACCGCAAGCCUGCCCUGGAAACUAUGUGGCUAGAGUACUGGAGAGGUGGACGGAACUGCACGAGUAGAGGUGAAAUUCGUAGAUAUGUGCAGGAAUGCCGAUGAUGAAGAUAGUUCACUGGACGGUAACUGACGCUGAAGUGCGAAAGCUAGGGGAGCAAACAGG